ANCGNNGGUUGAGGGGUUUCCUAGCGAAGCCCAACCUCCCACCCGUGUUUACUGUACCUUAGUUGCUUCGGCGGGCCCGCCAUUCAUGGCCGCCGGGGGCUCUCAGCCCCGGGCCCGCGCCCGCCGGAGACACCACGAACUCUGUCUGAUCUAGUGAAGUCUGAGUUGAUUGUAUCGCAAUCAGUUAAAACUUUCAACAAUGGAUCUCUUGGUUCCGGCAUCGAUGAAGAACGCAGCGAAAUGCGAUAACUAGUGUGAAUUGCAGAAUUCCGUGAAUCAUCGAGUCUUUGAACGCACAUUGCGCCCCCUGGUAUUCCGGGGGGCAUGCCUGUCCGAGCGUCAUUGCUGCCCAUCAAGCACGGCUUGUGUGUUGGGUCGUCGUCCCCUCUCCGGGGGGGACGGGCCCCAAAGGCAGCGGCGGCACCGCGUCCGAUCCUCGAGCGUAUGGGGCUUUGUCACCCGCUCUGUAGGCCCGGCCGGCGCUUGCCGAACGCAAAUCAAUCUUUUUCCGGGUUGACCUCGGAUCAGGUAGGGAUACCCGCUGAACUUAUGCAUAUCAAUAA
rnacentral:rRNA from 1 species